UACGGAGGAGGCAAGCGUUAUCCGGAAUUAUUGGGCGUAAAGCGUCCGUAGGUGGCUCUUCAAGUCUGCUGUCAAAGAGUGGGGCUUAACCCCGCAAAGGCAGUGGAAACUGAAAGGCUAGAGAGCCGUAGGGGUAGAGGGAAUUCCCGGUGUAGCGGUGAAAUGCGUAGAGAUCGGGAAGAACAUCGGUGGCGAAAGCGCUCUACUGGACGGUAUCUGACACUGAGGGACGAAAGCUAGGGGAGCGAAUGGG
rnacentral:rRNA from 1 species